rnacentral:misc_RNA from 1 species
UGUGGGAGCUGGCUUGCCUGCGAUGCAGAAACCUCGGUGUAUCAGUGAUACCGAGGUGAUGCUAUCGCAGGCAAGCCAGCUCCCACA